UAGGGAAUCUUCGGCAAUGGACUAAAGUCUGACCGAGCAACGCCGCGUGAGUGAAGAAGGUUUUCGGAUCGUAAAACUCUGUUGUUAGAGCAGAACAAGGACGUUAGUAACUGAACGUCCCCUGACGGUAUCUAACCAGAAAGCCACGGCUAACUACGUGCCAGCAGCCGCGGUAAUACGUAGGUGGCAAGCGUUGUCCGGAUUUAUUGGGCGUAAAGCGAGCGCAGGCGGUUUCUUAAGUCUGAUGUGAAAGCCCCCGGCUCAACCGGGGAGGGUCAUUGGAAACUGGGAGACUUGAGUGGAGAAGAGGAGAGUGGAAUUCCAUGUGUAGCGGUGAAAUGCGUAGAUAUAUGGAGGAACAACAGUAGCGAAGGCGGCUCUCUGGUCUGUAACUGACGCUGAGGCUCGAAAGCGUGGGGAGCAAACAGG
rnacentral:rRNA from 1 species